rnacentral:lncRNA from 1 species
UUUUAAUAUUUCUCUCCUUUUUGUGUUCUUAGAGAAAAAAUAGAAUUAUUAAUAUAAUAAACCUAUACAUUUAAAUAAUGAGUUUGGUCAUCUGAACUUUUAAUUAAUUAAGUUCAUGUGUUUGUAUGUAUUUAUUCUUUUUCUUUAAGCAGGUUGGCAACAUUGUACAAGUCACCCAGCCAGAAGGAAUGCACAGUACUGUUUCAAAUCAAACCUCAGGGAUUUAGAGAUACUGUUGUUACUUCUGCAUGUUCAUUGCAAACAGAAGGUUCCUUGAGCACCCGGAAACGGUCACGAGACCCAGAGGAAGAAUUAUAACCCAGAAACAAAUCUCAAAGUGUACAAAUUUAUUGAUGUUGUGAAAUCAAUGUGUACAAGUGGACUUGUUACCUUAAAGUAUAAAUAAACACACUAUGGCAUGAAUGAA